AUUGAACGCUGGCGGCAUGCCUUACACAUGCAAGUCGAACGGCAGCAUGGAGGAGCUUGCUCCUCUGAUGGCGAGUGGCGAACGGGUGAGUAAAGCAUUGGAACGUACCGUGUAGUGGGGGAUAACGUAGCGAAAGUUACGCUAAUACCGCAUACGCACUGAGGUGGAAAGCAGGGGAUCGCAAGACCUUGCGCUAUACGAGCGGCCGAUGUCAGAUUAGCUAGUUGGUAGGGUAAAGGCCUACCAAGGCGACGAUCUGUAGCGGGUCUGAGAGGGUGAGCGGCCGAACUGGGACUGGUGCACGGCCCAGCCUCCUACGGGAGGCAGCAGUGGGGAAUUUUGGACAAUGGGGGAAACCCUGAUCCAGCCAUGCCGCGUGAGUGAAGAAGGCCUUCGGGUUGUAAGGCUCUUCCGGCUGGGAAGAAAUCGCACAGGCUAAUACUCUGUGUGGAUGACGGUACCAGCAUAAGAAGCACCGGCUAACUACGUGCCAGCCGCCGCCGUAACAC
rnacentral:rRNA from 1 species